AGCGAACGCUGGCGGCAGGCUUAACACAUGCAAGUCGAGCGGGCAUCCUUGUGGUGUCAGCGGCAGACGGGUGAGUAACGCGUGGGAACGUGCCCUUCGGUUCGGAAUAACUCAGGGAAACUUGAGCUAAUACCGGAUACGUGCGAGAGCAGAAAGGUUUAUCUGCCGAAGGAUCGGCCCGCGUCUGAUUAGCUAGGUGGUGAGGUUACGGCUCACCAAGGCGACGAUCAGUAGCUGGUCUGAGAGGAUGAUCAGCCACACUGGGACUGAGACACGGCCCAGACUCCUACGGGAUGCAGCAGUGGGGAAUAUUGGAAAAUGGGGACAACCCUGAUCCAGCCAGGCCGCGUGAGUGAUGACGGCCUUAGGGUUGUAAAGCUCUUUUCUCCGGGACGAUAAUGACGGUACCGGAGGAAUAAGCCCCGGCUAACUUCGUG
rnacentral:rRNA from 1 species